rnacentral:lncRNA from 1 species
GCUUGGUGGUGGCUCUGGCCGGCCCGGAGCGGAGCUCUCUCCUGGGUUUUGGGCUCUCUCGCGGUUAACUGGAAUCAAUUACUUGCCUUGUCAUUUCUAGCACUCAUCCUUAAGCCUCAACCAAAAUAUUGACCUAGGAGGCUUACAGAAGUUGGGCUCUUGCCAUUUGAACCGGAUCUUGUUUAGGCAACCACCAACGAUGGAAAGGAGAGAUUUCCG